rnacentral:lncRNA from 1 species
UUUAUUAUUGUGAGAUCCUCAUAAUCCUAACAAACAUCUCAAUCUCAUCAAAACAAUACGAAAAACCCUAUCAUAAUCAUUGGUGACGCAAGAAUAAAAUUGAAAAUAAGAGGAAACACAGAUGAAUAGAGUGACAAAAUAAACAAGUUAGAGAUGUGUAACCUUCAAAAGAUCAACCUAUAUCAGAAAUCACUUGAUCUGUACAUUUGAUAGAUAAAAUAGAAAAUGACUCAUAAAAGCUAGAAAAAAAAGGAAAAUAUGACAAUUUUUCAGCAGUACGUAUUUUUUUAUCCUUUGUAUUUUUUUUAUACAAUCAUAAAGUGAUCAUGAGCAAGAGAUUUCUAUUAAAUAAUGUAAGCUAAAUAUUUCUAUUAAGUACAUCCUCAAUUAUAUAAAUCAAUCCAACAUGCAAUGAUUAACAAACCUUGACAUUAAAUAGUUUAGGAAGAUAUGUAUUGAACAUCAAAAUUAAUUAAAUAUAUACUUAUAUCCUAAAGAACAUAAAAUGUCAUCUUCUAUAUUCUGAUAAUUAAACAAUUAACAUAAGUUAUAUAGAUUAAAAAAAAUGCUAAAAUACUAAUUAUAAGUAGAAAAUGAAAA